rnacentral:rRNA from 1 species
GUAGGGAAUCUUCGGCAAUGGGCGAAAGCCUGACCGAGCAACGCCGCGUGAAUGAUGAAGGCCUUCGGGUUGUAAAAUUCUGUUAUAAGGGAAGAACGACUUUAGUAGGAAAUGGCUAGAGUGUGACGGUACCUUAUGAGAAAGCCACGGCUAACUACGUGCCAGCAGCCGCGGUAAUACGUAGGUGGCGAGCGUUAUCCGGAAUUAUUGGGCGUAAAGAGCGCGCAGGUGGUUGAUUAAGUCUGAUGUGAAAGCCCACGGCUUAACCGUGGAGGGUCAUUGGAAACUGGUCGACUUGAGUGCAGAAGAGGGAAGUGGAAUUCCAUGUGUAGCGGUGAAAUGCGUAGAGAUAUGGAGGAACACCAGUGGCGAAGGCGGCUUCCUGGUCUGUAACUGACACUGAGGCGCGAAAGCGUGGGGAGCAAACAGGAUUAGAAACCCCUGUAGUCC